rnacentral:rRNA from 1 species
CCACGAGAGCACAUAAAUGCAGUCGAGCGGUACACAGAGAGAGCUUGCUCUCGGGUGACGAGCGGCGGACGGGUGAGUAAUGUCUGGGAAACUGCCUGAUGGAGGGGGAUAACUACUGGAAACGGUAGCUAAUACCGCAUAACGUCGCAAGACCAAAGAGGGGGACCUUCGGGCCUCUUGCCAUCAGAUGUGCCCAGAUGGGAUUAGCUAGUAGGUGGGGUAAUGGCUCACCUAGGCGACGAUCCCUAGCUGGUCUGAGAGAACGACCAGCCACACUGGGACUGAGACACGGCCCAGACUCCUACGGGAGGCAGCAGUGGGGAAUUUUGGACAAUGGGCGAAAGCCUGAUCCAGCAAUGCCGCGUGUGGGAAGAAGGCCUUCGGGUUGUAAACCACUUUUGUACGGAACGAAACGGUUCGCUUUAAUACAGUGGGCUAAUGACGGUACCGUAAGAAUAAGCACCGGCUAACUACGUGCCAGCAGCCGCGGUAAUGCGUAGGGUGCGAGCGUUAAUCGGAAUUACUGGGCGUAAAGCGUGCGCAGGCGGUUAUAUAAGACAGUCGUGAAAUCCCCGGGCUCAACCUGGGAAUUGCAUCUGUGACUGUAUAGCUAGAGUACGGUAGAGGGGGAUGGAAUUCCGCGUGUAGCAGUGAAAUGCGUAGAUAUGCGGAGGAACACCGAUGGCGAAGGCAAUCCCCUGGACCUGUACUGACGCUCAUGCACGAAAGCGUGGGGAGCAAGCAGGAUUAGAUACCCUGGUAGUCCACGCCCUAAACGAUGUCAACUGGUUGUUGGGUGCAUUAGUACUCAGUAACCAAGCUAACGCGUGAAGUUGACCGCCUGGGGAGUC